AACGAACGCUGGCGGCAGGCUUAACAUAUGCAAGUCGAGCGCAUCCUUCGGGGUGAGCGGCAGACGGGUGAGUAACGCGUGGGAAUCUACCUUUUGCUACGGAAUAGCUCCGGGAAACUGGAAUUAAUACCGUAUGUGCCCUUAGGGGGAAAGAUUUAUCGGCAAGAGAUGAGCCCGCGUUGGAUUAGCUAGUUGGUGGGGUAAAGGCCUACCAAGGCGACGAUCCAUAGCUGGUCUGAGAGGAUGAUCAGCCACAUUGGGACUGAGACACGGCCCAAACUCCUACGGGAGGCAGCAGUGGGGAAUAUUGGACAAUGGGCGCAAGCCUGAUCCAGCCAUGCCGCGUGAGUGAUGAAGGCCUUAGGGUUGUAAAGCUCUUUCACCGGAGAAGAUAAUGACGGUAGCCGGAGAAGAAGCCCCGGCUAACUUCGUG
rnacentral:rRNA from 1 species